CAGUAGCCGCGGGAAUACGGAGGGUGCAAGCGUUAUCCGGAUUCACUGGGUUUAAAGGGUGCGUAGGCGGAUCUGUAAGUCAGUGGUGAAAUCUCCAGGCUUAACCUGGAAACUGCCGUUGAUACUAUAGGUCUUGAAUUUUGUGGAGGUUAGCGGAAUAUGUCAUGUAGUGGUGAAAUGCAUAGAUAUGACAUAGUACACCAAUUGCGAAGGCAGCUGGCUACACAACUAUUGACGCUGAGGCACGAAAGCGUGGGGAUCAAACAGGAUUAGAUACCCCAGUAGUCCCUGUCUCUUAUAC
rnacentral:rRNA from 1 species